UGUGCCACCUGUCCAAACCAAAUUGAAACACCACGAAGCCUCACUAAGCCAUGGUCACGUGACAUGGGCAUUUUGAACCACACUUCGAAACACUGUUCGAAACACUUGCGUUUCGGAAGCUCGACACUGUUUCGAAACGUCAGCUUCGAGCGUCACAUCCCUACUGUCUGUAUAAAUCGUCUUGUAAAUAAACUACCAGUGCUUUUUCAAAGUUCUCAAUGUCUCGUUUUAAAUGUCAAGGCCCUCGGAAGUUUACCAAUGAAGUAUGGAGCUACUUUGAGCCUCAUAAAUGGUGUAAAACAGUGAUUUAUUUGCAUGGCUAGGCCCUCCUCCAUGAUGCAAUCACCAACAGUCUACAAAAGUAAACAUCAAUUGGUUCUGCUGUGGGUGAAAGAGGCAGGGCCAGUGAGAUGGUUGGUUGGAGACUGAAGACAGGACAGGCAGAAUUAUUUGCUACACCGAGUCCCCUGAGCGCAGCGGUGAACUCCCGUGCACUGGGGUUAUACUUAUGGCCACCUUUUCCCCGGACCAAGGAGAAGAGAUUCUACCAAAAAACAAAAGGGGGAGAAAGUAAGCUGUUUAUGAUUUUGAUUAGGUGAGGGAUUUCCAAUGCAUUAGUUCACAGGGAGUCCCACGUGAACCACCGUAAAUUCAGAAAGGUUUGAGCCCUCAACCUCAAAACUGACCCUGUGGCCCUCCGCUGCAGCAGAACUGGUCCUUGAGUACCGCCAGAAUGGGACCACUACCUAGAAGAUCAAGAGGGUGGACAGGGUGUGCAUGGAGGCAAGGGACACAGUGGCACUGAAAGGAGGCGACACCAGAGCGUGAUGUGCGCAGGCUGAUUGGCCGGGCGCCGAUACAGCUGUGUGAGCUAAAUCAAAGGAUACUCUCCCAAUGGUAGGUCAAAUGUUUUAGCACAAAGGACUGUACUGUAUUCAGUUACCCGCUUUAAGGACUGUACAUAAAUGGUGACACAGAGAGGACUGUGGUGGCACCUUGACCAGGCACUGCAGACGGGCUCAGCAGGGUCGACCCAGAACCCAGCAGCAUCGGCAACGUAUCGUCCAGCAGCAGUGAACCCACAGCCCAGCAGCAGUGGCGGUGUAUCGUUUGACAGCAGCGGCCGGUUCAGCAGUGGCGGUGUAUCGUCUGACAGCAGCCGACCCAGGGCCCAGCAGUGACAGCAGCGCACCCAGGACCCAGCAGCAAUGGCGCUGUAUCAUCCAGCAGCAGCGGACCCAGGGCCAGCAGCAGUGUCUAAGUGUAUCGUGCAGCAGCCGACCCGCACACACACACACACACUUUGCCUUCUUCAGCUGGUGUUCAUUUAGUCAUAGAAUGCUGUUCUUCAAUGUUCUGUAAUGUUUUGUAUCACUUAAUAUAAUCCUUAAUAUAGUCUUCCCAUGUCAUUGUUUUUUUUUAUAUAUAUAUUUUUUUUUAAAGUAUAUUUUUUGGGCUUUUUGCUUUUAUUUGGACAGGACAGUGGAGAGUGAGACAGGAAGCAAG